rnacentral:rRNA from 1 species
CCUACGGGAGGCAGCAGUGGGGGAUAUUGGACAAUGGGGGAAACCCUGAUCCAGCGACGCCGCGUGAGUGAAGAAGUCUUUCUGUAUGUAAAGCUCUGUCAGCAGGGAAGAAAGACAUGACGGUCCCUGACCAACAAGCCCCGGCUAACUACGUGCCAGCAGCCGCGUGAAUACGUAGGGGGCAAGCGUUAUCCGGAAUUACUGGGUGUAAAGGGAGCGUAGACGGUUAAGUAAGUCUGGAGUGAAAGGCCGGGGCCCAACCCCGGGACUGCUCUGGAAACUAUUGAACUGGAGUGCAGGAGAGGUAAGCGGAAGUCCUAGUGUAGCGGUGAAAUGCGUAGAUAUUAGGAGGAACACCAGUGGCGAAGGCGGCUUACUGGACUGUAACUGACGUUGAGGCGCGAAAGCGUGGGGAGCAAACAGGAUUAGAUACCCCGGUAGUC